CCUGCAGUAUCAUUUCUGCCUCUGGUGCCCACUACAUUUGGGUUAUUUUGCGGCUUGUUCUCGGCUGCUCUUCCAGAUAACGUUUAUUUAUAACUACAUACAGACUUUGGAGUGUCACGACAGUUCCGUAUCAGGAGUGAAUUAAAGAAGAGAAGCAGUGGAAACCCCGUAAGCAGGAUCUCAGAAAGAGGAGCUAAUAAAGUGAGCCCAGGAGCCUGAGGUUGAGGAGAGCCAUGAUCAUGCCCCUGCGCUCCAGCACGGGAGAUAGAGCCAGACCCUGCCCAAGAAAGUAAGAAGAGCGAGAGGAGGAGGAAUUACCCAAAAGGAUUUUCCUGGCAGUGUAACAUCUUUCAUUCAAGGGGUUCAAAGAACUCAGCAAUUAUGACUCAUUGUUCCUUAAAAUACCUUUAUAAAACUGGAGGUGACAAGCAUUGAGGUAAACUUGUUACAGGACUGUCCAGAUUAAGCGAUUCCUGGCAAAGAGACAAAAGCAAAAUUGUCCUGUUCCCCAGUGGAUAUGGAUUCAAACUGAAAAUAAAAUCAGGUACAACUCCAAAAGGAGACAUUGGAGAAGAACUAAGCUGGGUCUAUAAGGAAUUGCACAUGAGAUGGCACACAUAUUUAUGCUGUCUCAAGCUCAUGACCAUGUUACCAUGUCAAGCUGCAAAUGUCACUACUAUCUGGAUAGUUGGACAUGUUCCAUUGGGAAUAUAUUUUUUCUCUCUGAAUCUAUUAUGAACAUGCUGGUUGGCUGGGUUCAGUAAUAAAUAUGUGAGACCUUUCAUUUCAAAAAAUAAAAAUAAUAAGUUGCAUUAAA